CUAGGCAUGUGGGAAGAGAGCUUCCUCCAUAUCUUGAUUUUUAACCGGGUCUUGGGGGAGCUAUAGGGAGGUGAAUUUUCCUGAAAGGCAGUUUGGGCCUUUCCCUGAGCAGGGCAGCUCUGCAGCAUUCACCCUAAGAGUUCCCUACAGUGUUUUCAUCCUUUGUAAUGUCUGGAAGAGAGUGGUACUGUGAUGUGUAAAUGGAACACUGAGCCCAAGUGGAACCUCCUUGAAGACAAACAAUAAUGAAUUUGUUGCCAGCAUCACAGCUAAAAAAAAAGGUGCCAGCUUCCUGGAGAAAUUUUGCAGAUUAAUUCAGAGGUGGAGGGUGAGCCCUGCGGGGGACACACUUGCACAGUGAGUCUGU